AAUAAGGUGCCUGAUUAAAAGGAUUAUUUUGAUAGAAUAAAACAUGUAUAUUUAUACCCUUAUUA
rnacentral:tRNA from 1 species